GGCCCCAUCGUCUAGUGGUUAGGACAUCGGAUUUUCGUUCCGAUAACGCGGGUUCGAUUCCCGCUGGGGUCA
rnacentral:tRNA from 1 species